rnacentral:rRNA from 1 species
CCUACGGGUGGCAGCAGUGGGGAAUAUUGGACAAUGGGCGAAAGCCUGAUCCAGCCAUGCCGCGUGUGUGAAGAAGGCCUUCGGGUUGUAAAGCACUUUCAGUGGGGAAGAAAGCCUUGGGGCGAAUACCCUCGAGGAAGGACAUCACCCACAGAAGAAGCACCGGCUAACUCCGUGCCAGCAGCCGCGGUAAUACGGAGGGUGCGAGCGUUAAUCGGAAUUACUGGGCGUAAAGCGCGCGUAGGCGGUCUGAUAAGCCGGUUGUGAAAGCCCCGGGCUCAACCUGGGAACGGCAUCCGGAACUGUCAGGCUAGAGUGCAGGAGAGGAAGGUAGAAUUCCCGGUGUAGCAGUGAAAUGCGUAGAGAUCGGGAGGAAUACCAGUGGCGAAGGCGGCCUUCUGGACUGUCACUGACGCUGAGGUGCGAAAGCGUGGGUAGCCAACAGGAUUAGAUACCCUGGUAGUC